GGUACCUGGCAGAAACAAGAGAUAAAGACUUAUUUUGACUCAUAGUUGUAGAGGGUUUUAGGCCAUCAAGGCAGGGAAGACCUAGUGGGCCAACUCAGUCCAUGGCAGCCAGAACAUGUUGUGGGUAAUUUUAUAACACGCUUACUCUUUCUUGGGAGCUCUCCCCGAGAUCCCGGCUAUGCUCGGAGAACAGCUGCGGCCAUGUUGCCAGCUGGCGUUUCCCGAGAGUUCCGACAGUUCCUUUCCUUUGGCUUUACUAAGCUGCCAACAACUGUUCUUCCCGGAAGCCCCACAGGUUCUAGUUGGCCUUACAUGGCGCCUGUCCUCCUCUCUGAAAAGCCUGGCUGGAGGUGGAGGACGGGGGUGACCUCCCCUUCCUCCUGGGACCCGGAAAUCCCACCUCUGUAUCUUCGACCAGCGAUUGGCUUCUGCCAUCUUUAUUGACAUACCGGCUCCUCCCCGUACACGACUGCAUAGCAGAGAAUAGUCACACCUGAGAAGCAGAAGGUGCCAAGAACCAUGAGCCAUAAAUGGCUGGGGCACCUCCUAGUGACUGAUUCCUGCUCCAUAGCCCACCUCUGAAAGAUCCUUCAUGCUCCCGAGGAGAGCAGCACUAGCUGGAGACCAGAACUCACAGGACAAGCCUGUGGGAAUGUCACAUUCAAAUCUCACCUGCAUAGCUUUCUCUUUGCUUACUGACCCAGCUAGGAAUUCAAACACUGUGGCCAGGUGGAGGUGGUGCUGCUAUGCCUUCAGUCCCAGCACUUGGAAGGCAGAGGCAGGCAGAUCUCUGUGAGUUCAAGGCCAGCCUGCUCCAUAGUGGGAGUUUCAGGACAGGCAAAUCUACACAGAGACACCCAGUCUUUCUAAAAACCAAACAAACAAAAGAAUUCAAUGACUGCAUUGAAUUAGAGUAGGGUCUUGAAUUUAGAGGAGGUGCUUUGUUUUCUCCAGUGUGUGGGUUAGCCACUAGGCUUGUCAUAAUUGCCUUUAUUAUGCUCAAGUCUGGCACUCCCGGCCUGCAUUCUGAAGAGCUUUUGUCAUGAAGGGCGCUGAAUUUUGUCAGCUUGCUUUCUUCUGAUGAGACAUUCAUCAAGGACAUGUUGCCUUUGUCGUUGGAUCGUUAACCAGGAGCAAGGCAACACUAGAUGAGCAUCCUGGGUCUCCUCUGUCUUGUGGGCCGUGAAUUCCGUUUAACAGGCUGAAUUUACAGAAUCCUGUACAGUGACCUGAAGUUCAGAAGUCUCCUGCAGCAUUCUCUUUUUGGUGUUCAAUUGUGUUAAAUCCUUGUCUCCUCCUUUUGGUUAGUUUGGCUGAGAGUUUGGGAACCUUAUCCUUUAAAGGUUUAGCAAAAUUUCACAAACAGAAUCUCAGUUACUUGGCGAAUUCAGUUAGUUCCCAAUAGGACAUGCUUGUGAUAAGUGUACUUUACAAAAUAUAGAAAAAUUUUCAGGAAUAUAAUCUAAAUUUCUUGGCAAAUUCAGUUAGUUCCCAAUAGGACGUGCUUGUAAUAACUCUCCUUUUCAAGAUAUAGCAACAUUUUCAUGAACAGACUUGUAAUAAGUGUACUUUUCAAGAUAUAGCAAAAUGUUCACUAGUGGAAUCUCAGGAUCUUGGCAAAUUCCGUUAGUUCCCAAUAGUACAAGCUUGUAAUAAGUGUAGUUUUCAAUAUAUAGUAACAUCUUCACUAGUUUAAUCUCAGUAUUUUGGUGAAUUCAGUUAGUUCCCAAUAGGAUGCACUUGUAAUAAAUAGAAAGGCAGUUCUGUGGCUGCCGUCCUGUACUCUCUGAACUCACUUUACUCUCUGAACUGUUCUUUCAAUUUAUCAGUCUUGGGUUUGACUUACUCUUACUUUAAGAUGUUGGGGUACUUAAUUUGCUUAUUUCAUCUAAAUCUAUGGAUUUUCUAUGUUUCUUUACAUUCGCGUGUGUGUGUGACACAAGUGGAGGUCAGAGGACAACUUUCAGGGGUUGGUUCUCUCCUUCCACCAUGUGGGUUCCGGGGCUCCAACUCAGGUCAUCAGGCUUAAUGUCACGUGCCACUAUCCAUUGAGCACUGAGCCAGCUGACCAACUCCACUCUGGUUUUUUGUUUGUUUGUUUGUUUGUUUUUGGUGUUUUUUUUUUGUUUUUUUUUUUUGUUUUUUUUUUUUUUUGAGACCAGGUUUCUCUGUGUAACCUUGGCUGUCCUAGAACUCCUUCUGUAGACCAAGCUGGCCUCGAACUCUGCUGGCCUCGAAAUCUGCCUGCCUCUGCCUUCUGAAUGCUGGGAUUAAAGGUGUGUGCCACCACUACCUGGCUUCCUCUCUGACUUUUCAGUGUAGAGCUUUGAUAGCUGUUGUGUGACUUCUCCUGAAGACAUGCGGAUUGCUUUAGUUCAUGCUCAAAAUGCAGUGGGAACUCUGUAAAGGAUCACAUCGCUGGGUGAUAACAAGCUCAUGUGAACGGCAGUGACUUAGUCUGUUGCAGGCCUCGGGUCCUGCUGAUAGUCUGCUCUGUAACCUGACAUGGUCUGCACAGCUUCGGGAUUCUUAAACUGUGCCAUACUCUGACAUGGAAAGGCUGUUUUCUGGCCGCAGGGUCUUCUUAGGGGGACGGGUCUUGGAAAUCCCGCUGUGACAUCACUGAAUGUACUGUGCCAUCACCGGUAUAGCUCAUUCUCAAGCAGGAAGCCCCUCUCAAGAUUGCCCUGGGCUGUAGCACUCCAAAAUGUGGAAGCAGACUAAUGGACCGAUGCUUCUCCAUUUUAUGCGUCUUCGUUUCUUUUCAACGCUACACGUGCGUAGGUUUGCUGCCUUCAUCUGGCGCACGCAGUCUUGAGUGUUGUGGCCAUGGGUCGUGUGCUCUCCUACUGAUGUUGGGAUGUAAUGCUUCCUUAAUGUCUUCAGUCCUUGCUGUUCUUCCUGCUAGCAUUGCUUGCUCUCUCUGAGGCCUACAUCCAGGAGCCACCCCAGC